UAGUCCACGCCGUAAACGAUGAACACUAGGUGCUGCGGGUAUUGACCCCUGCGGUGCCGUAGCUAACGCGUUAAGUGUUCCGCCUGGGGAGUACGGCCGCAAGGCUAAAACUCAAAGGAAUAGACGGGGACCCGCACAAGCGGUGGAGCAUCGGGUUUAAUUCGAUAAUAAGCGAGGAACCUUACCAGGACUUGACAUCCCAAGAAUCCCUUAGAAAUAAGGGAGUGUCGCAAGAAACUUGGUGACAGGUGCUGCAUGGUCGUCGUCAGCUCGUGCCUUGAGGUGUUCGGUUAAGUCCGUAAACGAGCGCAACCCACGUCGUGUGUUACUUUUUCACGCGAGACUGCCGGCCCUAAGCCGGAGGAAGGUGUGGAUGACGUCAGAUCAGCACGGCCCUUAUGUUCUGGGCGACACCGGUGCUACAAUGGUCGGUACAAAGGGUAGCGAACCCGCGAGGGGGAGCCAAUCCUGAUAAAGCCGGCCCUAGUUCGGAUUGGAGGCUGCAACUCGCCUCCAUGAAG
rnacentral:rRNA from 1 species